rnacentral:rRNA from 1 species
UACAGAGGGUGCAAGCGUUAAUCGGAAUUACUGGGCGUAAAGCGUGCGUAGCCGGUUACAUAAGUCGGGUGUGAAAGCCCCGGGCUCAACCUGGGAAUUGCAUUCGAGACUGCGUAGCUAGGGUGCGGAAGAGGGAAGCGGAAUUUCCGGUGUAGCGGUGAAAUGCGUAGAUAUCAGGAGGAACACCGAUGGCGAAGGCAGGUCUCUGGGCCGCAACUGACGCUGAGGAGCGAAAGCAUGGGGAGCGAACAGG